rnacentral:rRNA from 1 species
UACGAAGGGGGGCUAGCGUUGCUCGGAAUCACUGGGCGUAAAGCGCACGUAGGCGGAUUCUUAAGUCAGGGGUGAAAUCCCGGAGCUCAACUCCGGAACUGCCUUUGAUACUGAGAAUCUUGAGUUCGAGAGAGGUGAGUGGAACUGCGAGUGUAGAGGUGAAAUUCGUAGAUAUUCGCAAGAACACCAGUGGCGAAGGCGGCUUACUGGUCCAUUACUGACGCUGAGGUGCGAAAGCGUGGGGAGCAAACAGG